AUUGAACGCUGGCGGCAGGCCUAACACAUGCAAGUCGAGCGGAUGAAGGGAGCUUGCUCCUGGAUUCAGCGGCGGACGGGUGAGUAAUUCCUAGGAAUCUGCCUGGUAGUGGGGGAUAACGUCCGGUAACGGGCGCUAAUACCGCAUACGUCCUGAGGGCGAAAGUGUGGGUUCUUCGGACCUCUCGCUAUCAUCUUAGCCUAGGUCGGAUUAGCUAGUUGGUGUGGUAAAGGCCUACCAAGGCGACGAUCCGUAACUGGUCUGAGAGGAUGAUCAGUCAAACUGGAACUGAGACACGGUACAGACUCCUACGGGAGGCAGCAGUGGGGAAUAUUGGACAAUGGGCGAAAGCAUGAUCCAGCCAUGCCGCGUGUGUGAAGAAGGUCUUCGGAUUGUAAAGCACUUUAAGUUGGGAGGAAGGGAAGUAAGUUAAUACCUUGCUGUUUUGACGUUACCAACAGAAUAAGCACCGGCUAACUUCGUG
rnacentral:rRNA from 1 species